rnacentral:lncRNA from 1 species
ACAGUAUAGGUUUGUAGUAGUACUCAGAUCAUUCAGGUUUGUGUAAAUGCAAUGUGAUACUCUUAUAGUAAUGAAUUGCUGAACACAUUUCUUAGAACAUAGAGACAUUAUUAGUUCACCUGGGUUUUCUCAAAUAUACCGUUAUUCUCUCUAGAGUAGAUUUAAUCAUGAUGUAUAAGUUAGAUAUUCUCUCUCCACAGCAUCCAUCACAAAGUUAUUGUACGUUUGGGAGAUGAUAGAUGUGUUUUUGUUUAUUAAUUGUGUGUUUGUAUUCUAUUAAUUAAUGUAUUGCCCCCAGAUCAGUAAUUGCAAGAUACUUUUUUGGUAAGGAAUCUGGGAGUGGCUUACUCCUUAUGAAGUUCUUUCCUUUGAAGGCUUGGUAGGGGCUGGACAAAGUAUUGCUCUGCUGAAGAUCUUAAGUGCAGGUACAGAUUUCAGUUGCUCACCACGAAAGCCUGCCCAUAAUAAGGCUUUUUGUGGUACGGCUGCCUCACUCCAACACACAGUCAGUCAUCCUGUUCUUGAUUGUUUUAUGAAAAUGGGUGACUGCUGGACCCAGCCUGAACAACACGGGAUCCACAAAUCACACCUUGUGUUUAGUUCUUGUCUCAGUUAAUAGUUGUUAUACUAUAUGUUUAGGUUUCCAAGAGAGACCUCUCUCUCUCAGCCAAGUUAAGAAUAGCAGAUUUGAUUUGUGAUACAGCAUUCCUCUUUCUCUGUUUGCUUAACAUAGAGCUCAGUGAAUAGAGGUGUUCCAAGGAUGAGAAAAUUCACUGUAGAUUUCUGUUUUUUCUCCAGUAAUUAGUGUUUACCCCCUGUUUCCACAUGAGUGGGUCCAGCCCAGCAGAAGCAACUGCAUCACAUUUGGAAGUGUUUUUCGAAGAUGACUGAGGUGUUUAAUAACAGCCUUUUGAUAGUUGAUAAACUUCAUAACUUCAUGCACAUUUCUGGAGUCUUUGGAUCAGCAGUAACAAUGUUACCUGUUUUAAUUCAGGGGCUAACAAAGUCAAGUUUAAAAUUUAAUACCCUCUUUAAGGGAUAUGUUCAACCCCCACCCCACUCAGUCCUGCCCCCCCAAAAACUACCCAAAUGGUAACAAACUUCCCAUUUCGUUAUAAAUAUACAUGGUUAGGAUGAAGUUUAAUUUUUAAGUUAGGCAUAAUAAAAUAAGUAAUACAAAUCAAAACAGUAUACCAUAGUAAAUGUUACUUAAAAUUUGUGCAGUGAUUAUUUCUGUAACUUCCUAUUAAUAUUUUUGGAUUGUAGCUAACACAUUGGGAAACAAAGCUAAGGCUGAAGGAGACUACAAUGUAGCAUUGGGGUUUUGUUUGCUUGCUUUGCUUCUGUUUUUGAGACAGGGUCCCACUAUGUAUAUCCUCGGUUAACCUAGAACCCAAAUUUAUGUGACUCUCUCAAGUGUUGGACAAGAUCUCUCACUAUGAACCAUGCCUGGGACUUCAGAUUCUCCUGCCGCAGCCACACAAGCACUUUGAUUUCAGUUGUGCACCAUCACAUCUGUCCUGGACAAGAUUUUAAAGUCAGAUUUAUUUUCAGGGGCAACUAUUUUAGCAUAGAAGUAAAUCGAAUUGUACCUGUCCUUCUGAGGUAGGCUUGUUUCCUGUGUUUGACUGGUGAACUUGUGCCGCAUGUUAAAGUCAUCAGUAUCCCAGUUAGAAAACUAGAAGUGUUGAUAGAAGUAGGAGAGUGAGUCAUGGUGCAGGAAACUGAUACUCGAGCGUCGGGGGCAGACUUUUAGCUUAGAAAUGUUUCAUCUGUGUGUUGGGGCCAGGAGAGGAGGCAGACUUAGUACCAAGUGACAGUGACUUUAAAACCACUGAUAGGAAAGCAUAUCACUGUGCCCAGCCACAGACAAUUUCUUACCUCUGUCUGGCAUUGUUCCUUAAUGAUGCUAUACGAUAAUACCCUAGAGCUGUGAUGUAAAAUGGUAGUUACUACAAACUAGACAAGAAGACUACGUUUAAAAACCAAAAAUAAAAAAAUCCCAACAGCCAUUGAGGCUGACGCAGAUUUCAUUGCUUAGUUUGCAGUUCAUGUAAGGAUCAUGGAGGUGACUUUAGCUCUAAAAUUUGUUCUAGCAGAUCCAAGACCCUGGAUUAUCUAAUUUGUAAAAAACAUGCCUUUUAAAAAAUCACCUGUCCACCAAAAUAACUGCCAUUCUGGCCAACAACAGCUUUAAUUGCUGUUUCAACUCUG